CAUCACCUGACUACUCAGACAGAGAUUGGACCGAAAACAAUAAGCCAAGAAACAUCAAGGAUUGUUAGCAACACCAGAAGCUAAGGAAACAGCAUGGAGCAGAUUCCUCCCCUGGAGCCCUCAGAGAGAGCACGGCCAUGCCAACACAUUGAUUUCAGACUGCUCGCCUCCAGGACUUCAUCUGUUGUUCAGAGAGAUGUUCAAGUUAAGAAAAUAAAUUAUGUAUUCAUCCACCACAUGGAGCGAGGCAGAAGACAGAUUCCCUCCCUGUGAGCAGGGAAGACACCGUGCAGCCCUGAGGUUGGGGUGCAGGCACAGAAGUCAAAGCAACUCUUCCGAGAUCACAGAGCAAGUGAACGGGAAAGCUGGAAUUCCUACCAACGCCCGUGUUCUUUGCUGCCAUGGUAUGCAUUGCCAGGACUGAUGUGGAAGACAUUAAGCCCAACGCACUGUAUUGGCAUCGGAGGACUCGUCUUCAUAUAUCAGCUCAUGUACCACUUCUUAGCUGCUUGACCCUGGUUAAUUUACUCAUGUAAACUAUCAGUUUCCCAAUCUAAACUUAAUAGGCAUAAUAAUAUUCAUUUCAGAGGAAUUUAGUGAUAUAAAAGGAUAUAUAACAGUAUUUUGUAAGUAUUUGACAUUCAUAUUUAUACGGGUGAUAAAUGCAUAUGGUAUCACUUAAGUAUCUUUAAGUGAUAUUAAUAGAUCAGGGAGACAGUAUACCUUUACCCUAGCUCUCCAUCUUUUUCCUUUUCAGUUCUAGCUAAUGCUGUUUUAAUCAUUUCUUUAUUCAACCAUAAUCCCCACGUUUUCAUUUUAAGUUUUCUGCUGAUAAAAGCAGUUAACACUCAUUGCCAAUCAGUUUACCAUCAUGUUUCCAGGCAUGUCUGGGUUGGUUGAAGUGUGCCCUCUAACAAUUUUUUAAAUUAAUUAAUUUUGUUUUCCAGCUCUAUUGAGAUAUAACAGACAUAAUUUUGUGUAAGUUUAAGGUGUAUAGCAUGAUGAUUUGAUACCUAUGUAUAUUGUGACCUAAUAAUUUUAUAAAGAGCUGAUGGAAAGUAUAUUCCUUGGGUUCUUGCAUAUUUAGAAAUUGCUUUCAAUGGCCUUUGUACUCGCAUAAUGGUUUGGCUAGGGCGACAAUGCCUGGGUCACUUUCUUCUCUUGUGGUCUUUGAGGGCACUCCUCCAGUGUUAUUUAGAGUUGAAUAUAACUUUGUAGGUAUCUGAGGACAGCUGGCUUGUUUUCUUGUCGUGUGAUAUGACCAUUAUGCCUACUAUUUCAAGGGAUUCUUUAUUUUAGAAUCUAAAAAUUUUGCUAGGGUAUAUCUCAGUGAAGCAUUCUGGGCCUUUUUUGUUUGUUUAUUUGGGAUACAAUAGGCCAUUUCAGUCAGUAGAACCAACUCUUUUCUUUCCGAGUCGUUUUCUGGAAGUUUACCCUUAAGUAUUUCUUGUUCUCAAUUUUUUUUAUUGGGAACACUAAUUGUGUACAUAAUUAUGUCUAUUAUCUAUCUUUUGCUCAUGUAUAGUCAUAAUUUUCCUUCUAAAAUAUUCUUAAUUAUUUCAUUUCUCUACAUUUCAUGUUCUUUGCCUUUCUCCCUUCUGUUCUGUAAGACUCGCCAUAUUCUCACCUGCUUUCUGUAUGUUUCGU